GUCCAGGAGCGGGAAUCGAACCCACAACCUUCUGCUUACCGAGCAGGUGCCAUGUCCACUAGGCUACCCUGGA
rnacentral:tRNA from 1 species